AUUCCGUUAGUAGUGGCGAGCGAAUAUGGAGUAGACCAAAAAUUUAGAAAGUAUUCGGGAAUAAUUUUGAAAAAUUAGCAGAACAAGGUGAAAGCCCUGUACUCAAUAUAAUCUAAAAAAAAAAUGAGUAAAUUGAUUUAAGUAAGUUAAAUUGAAUAAAGGAAAACCAUUUUCUAAGUCUAAAUAUGUUUCAAUGACCGAUAGUGAACAAAGUACUGUGAAGGAAAGGUGAAAAGAGCUUUUAUUAAAAAGGUUGAAAUAGUAACUGAAACUGAAUGUUGAGUUAGCAAUGGUUAGCAAUUAUUGGAAAGUAAUUGUUUCCGUGUACCUUUUGCAUAAUGAACCAACGAGUUAAUUUAUUUAGCAAGCUUAAAAUAGAAUGUAGGCGUAGCGAAAGCAAAUUUGAAUAAAGUUAGAUAGUUAAAUAAAUUAGACACGAAACCAAGUGAUCUAAUCAUGGGCAAGUUGAGAUUAGAGGUAAAACUUUAAUUGAGGACUGAACUCGUGUAUGUUGCAAUAUACUGAGAUGAUUUGUGGUUAGGGGUGAAAGGCCAA
rnacentral:rRNA from 1 species